ACUAAAAGAAAAAAAUAAUAAAAAAAUCUGCAGCUGGCCCUUGGUGUCCCUGUGGGCCUGACAGCUUCGGGAGCUGGAGGUACUGCGCUGUCUCCAGCAGAGCCUGACCCCUGCUGUUGUAAUUGGGUUUAGCCUUCCCCUGCCAGGCAGCGCUCACUGCACAUCACCCCUGGUGGCAUCUGGGGAGAGCAGUCACUGAAAGACCUUCACUGCUCCAUCUAGAGCCCCUGGCACCUCCCCUCCUUGCCUCCCCCCCCCAGACCUUACUGGCUGGGCUUGUCUUCAUCCUUACUCUUCUGUCCCUCCUCAAAGGCUGCCUGCCUGGAGUCUGCAGCACUGGCCUGCCCUGUCCUUCACCUGCUCCUGACCCCCCACGUCUCUAGUCACUGUUCCUGUGAUGAGUCUUCUGCCCCUGCCCACUGCCUCCACUGCCAAGCCGCCCCUUGAUGAGUCUGGGCCAGCCAGAGCGCACGCAACCACUCCUGCCAGUCCACCUUACAAAUGCCAGACCCACUCACCUAAUGCCAAUGUGCAUUAUGUGUCAAAAGGAACAAAAAAUUUCUCAUUUCAAAAUUCA
rnacentral:lncRNA from 1 species